rnacentral:tRNA from 1 species
GUGGAGAUGACCCAGUUGGUCUAAGGCGCCAGAUUAAGGUUCUGGUCCGAAAGGGCGUGGGUUCAAAUCCACUCUCCACA